rnacentral:rRNA from 1 species
CAUGUUGUGGUAGAUGGACUAACUAGGACGGUCAUCGUAUACGAAACAGAGUUUCUAAUUCGGUACGUUCAGAUUCAUGUGUGCGGGCCAUGUCACUUUGACGCUUACCGAGUAAUUUAGUCAAUACCAAGGAAACUAGCGAGAUGGCAAUGAACCUAUUGACACCAUUAAGAUCUCGAUUAUGUACGGUUGCUCGCGACUGGAGGCCCCUACGCACGUAAAUAGUCUGGGUUUUGGGUACGCCCCGCCGAGAGCCCGGCGGGGCCGGCGAAACCACUGAGAUCUAUUGGAGCUCGGCUAGCGACCGGGGGCACCGCCGCUGCAGAGUAAGCUUACAGACGGGAUAGUUGAAAGCUACCAUGAAAGACACGGAUGGUACCACUGGUGCCCAUUGCCCCUUAGUCCCAAGCUAAGGCCUCUCCCUCGGACUCUUUGCCGAUGGUGUAGGUUCCUUCCGUCGUCCGCGCGUUUAAUGGGUGAGGGCUGAGCCCCUCCAUCACUGCUUUUUAUUGUUAUGUCCUGAGAAAGCUCCGGGACAUUAACCUUACUCAUGUGAAAUUUAGGAAAUUGCUCCUAGUUAA